ACGUACAUCAAGGUGAACGUGCCGCAAACCGAUAGGCCUAGGUAUAGAACACGUAAGGGAGAAGUUGCCACAAACGUCCUCGGUGUGUGUGAUACGAAAGGCGACUUCAUCUUCGUAUUGGCUGGUUGGAAAGGAUCUGCAGCAGAUUCACGCAUUCUUCAAGAUGCUAUUGCACAACCAAAUGGGCUGCAUGUUCCUCAGGAUAAUCAAAUGUUUUAUGCCUCGAACAUAUACUUCCUACAACGUCAAGCAAAUUAGUUCAAUCUGACGCAUUCAUAACAGGUUAUUACUAUCUAUGCGACGCCAUAUAUCCCAAUGCAGAGGGAUUUCUAGCUCCCUAUAGAGGACAAAGAUACCACUUGAAAGAGUGGCGAGGAGCGGGAAAUGCCCCUGCCACCGCAAAAGAGUACUUCAACAUGAAACAUUCUACCGCUAGGAAUGUUAUUGAACGAGCGUUCGAGUUGUUGAAGGGUCGAUGGACAAUCCUGAUAGAACUAAGUCAUGCACAGCGGAAAAAGAAUCGAAUUUCUACCCUAAUUGCCACAAUUAACAUGUAACCAUAAACUAAUCAAAUUAGGGUUUUAAGAAGUAUUACCUUUGAAGCUUACAAAAGGUUUGAUGUCUUCUUACCAAUUCUACCCGAGACCACCACUAGUACUCAACUGCUAUCCUCUAGACAAAGAACCGGGUUGUGGGACCCAAUUUUGGUGUAGAAAGUAAUGGAGAUAAAAUGAGAUUGGAAGCUUUCUUUUUUCUUUUGUUGAGAUUAUGAAAAUGAUAAAAGAGGCAAAAGUCCUUCAACAUUUGAAAACAUCUCU
rnacentral:lncRNA from 1 species